AUGCAAUGUAGUUCUGAGGCCACAAAAGAGACUGAUAAAUACAUCAUGACUGAGGUCUAUAUACUCCUAUAUGCUGAAAACAUCCCUUUUCUACAUGUUUCAGGCAGGGAUGCUGACUUCUCCAUAAAAGAAUAUUUAUUGACUCGGUUAGUGGAAAUGUCCACAUUUUCUCAGCCUCACCUGUUUUUUUUUUUUUUUCACUCCAGCAACAGCCAGCCCUACACAGCUUCCCUCUGGGGCAGGGUGUCAGCAGCUCACCACUGCCCAUGCCAUGCACCUGUUGCUGCCUGCCCCAGGGCUAUCCCUGCUUCCCUAUUUCACUCUGAUCUCCAAUUCCACUCCCUGCCAGGGAUCUCAUCCCAGGCUCUGCUUCCAGGGGAUCUGGGCUAAGACAGUAUGAAUCCACUUGGGCUGACUCAAUAAAAUAUCAGAAGCUGGGUGGUUUAAACAAUGGAAACAUAUUUCUCAGUUUUGGAGGCUGGAAAGUCCAAAAUCAAGUUCCUGAAGAUUUGGGGGUUUGAUGAGUUCUCUGCCUGUUUCGUAGAUGGCUACCUUCUGGCUGUGUAUCCUCACAUGGCCUCUCCUUGGUGCCUGGGUGGAAAGAUCUCUCUCUUCCUCUCCUUAUAAGGUUGACCUUAUCUAGGACCCCAGCUCUUAGACUUCAUUUAAACUUAAUUAACUCCUAAAAUCCCCAUAUCCAAAUACAACUUGGAGGUGGGGAACAGUUAGGACUUUAACAAAUGGGGUACUGGGGACACAAUUCAGUCUACAGCCGACAGUAUCAUUUAAAACUAUUGGUUUGAGGGAGCUUCCCUGGCAGUUCAGUAGUUAGGACUCCAGGCUGCCAAUGCAGGGGGCAUGGGUUCAAUCCCUGGUGGAGGAACAAGGAUCCCACAUGGGGGUAGCCCCCAACACACACACCCUGCCAAAAAAUAAUUGGUUUGGAUCAAUAGGCAGCUAAGGAAAGCAAGGUUCUCCAAGAUUGCACCACCUUCCUUUUUAUUUUUUAAAGCUCCAUUUUGCUCUCUUCCCUCCUUUAUGUUUUAAUGACUAGCAUCAUAAACAAUGUUUUAUUUAAGGACUAUUUAGGAAAGAUACUAUACUAGCCUGUUCUCAUGAAUAUUAAACAUUUCUAGUAGGCUUCCCUGCUAGUAGGCAGAUGGUAAAGAAUUUGUCAAUCUGCCUGCAAUGCCAGCGAUCCGGGUUCAAUCCCUGGGUGAGGAAGAUCCCCUGGAGAAAGAAACGGCAACCCACUCCAAUAUUCUUGCCUGGAGAAUUCCAUGGACAGAUGAGCCUGGCGGGCUAUAGUCCAUGGGGCCCGCAAAGAGUCGGACACAACUGAGCAACACACACACACACACACACACACACACACACACACUUCUGCUAGUUACCCGAAAGACUACAUUCUAGUCACAGUUUUCCUAGUUUAGGGAGGAACUUUUGCCAACUUAAAGUGUAACCUCUUAGAGAAAAUCACUUUGCUUUUCUGGACCGGUUUUUUAGGUAUAAAGUGGGACAACAAGGUAACAGCUGUGACACGGGAUAACCCGGCUAUUCUGCUGGGUUAGGAGAAUCUGAGAUGGAAGGGGGAGGUACUCUGUAAAGGGGAAAGGAGCUCAGCAAGGGAAGAAGCUUCAGGGUUCUCUGGAGUGAGUAGGGCGGGGACCCUGGCGCACCCCCAGGGACCUCUGGGCUCCACAUUCCAGGGGAGAGGGAGUCCAGAGCGUUCCUAAUGCGCCUGGGUCCUCGGAGCAGCUCGGUUUCCUCUAAGCUGCCUGCCGCCAAACCCGCAGUGUUUACCAGAACCCGGGUGGUGUAUAAACCCAAAUGUCAGACUUCCUGUCCCAGAGAUUUUCAACUCGCUCACCCCCAGCUCCUAUUCGGCCUCCCCCAGGAAGGAGAGGGAAGGCUGGAAGCAGGAGGAGCUAGCCCGGGGCAGCCUCCCCCCUCCCUCUCCACCCUAAAGGCAGGAAUUUCUGGGACGGGCAGAUUGUCCACCCCUCUUCCUCCUCCUGCUCCAAGCCGCAAAGGGAGAACCUCCGCGACUUUUCCGUCUUCCAGCCAGAGAGUCCCCCCAUCGUGGCGACAGGGGUGACUGACGAAGUGGGUCUCGGGGACGCAGGGGUGGCGAGGCCCCCGGGGAGGGUUGGAGCGCGGAGGAGGCUGCGGUCCUGCCCUCCGCCACCCCACCCACCGCAGGGCUGGGCGCUGGGGCUGCGGCGCUGGCCCCCCGCGGGCGCUACACCCGGGGACC
ensembl:lncRNA